UGGGAAUAGGGAACCCCUGCCUGCAAGAAAGAUCAGGGCGUUGUAGUAUGAGAAGGGAGGUGGGAGACGGAGCUCAGGUUGUGCCCAUAAAGGGAAAGAAUCAUGUUCUUCCCACUCUGUUCUCUGUGAUCCCAUUGGAUGAAAUGUGGUCAUACUGACAAGCCGUCUUGGAUCAGGCCUCUUGGAGAACAGUGAGUGGUCCAUCCUGGCUUUUAAGGAAUGAAGAAGAACAAGAGAAGAGAAGAUUAGAAACAGAGAGGAGAGAGCCUUGAUCAGACAUUGCGAAAAUAAAUACAGAUGCCUACGCCUUAAUGUGACCAUGUAUGUACCUUCAGGAAACCCAUCAGUUUUGGGGCCUCAGUUUCUACUUCUGCAAAAUGUAGCUGAAGGAGAUAAUGGCGAAGCUCUCAGAGUUUGUCUGCUUUGUCUGCAUUUGAACCACUGAGGUGACCAACGAAAAAAGAACAAAAAAUACUCCUAGGGGCAGUGACUCUUUGAAUUGACAGGACCAGUUUUCAGAUAGUGCUUCGAUGAUCACCCCGAGGCAUUGAAGAGAUCCUGGGGAUACAGUGCGGGAAGGCCUCCUGGACCCCACCCUGGAUUUAGUCAACCACAGUUGUUCUACUUUGAUCUCUUUUAUAUACCGGCACACCUCAUUUCAUGGUGCUUUGCUUUACUGUGCU